GAUGAACGCUGGCGGCGUGCCUAAUACAUGCAAGUCGAGCGAACAGACGAGGAGCUUACUCCUCUGACGUUAGCGGCGGACGGGUGAGUAACACGUGGAUAACCUACCUAUAAGACUGGGAUAACUUCGGGAAACCAGAGCUAAUACCGGAUAACAUGUUGAACCGCACGGUUCAACAGUGAAAGACGGUCUUGCUGUCACUUAUAGAUGGAUCCGCGUCGCAUUAGCUAGUUGGUAAGGUAACAGCUUACCAAGGCAACGAUGCGUAGCCGACCUGAGAGGGUGAUCGGCCACACUGGAACUGAGACACGGUCCAGACUCCUACGGGAGGCAGCAGUAGGGAAUCUUCCGCAAUGGGCGAAAGCCUGACGGAGCAACGCCGCGUGAGUGAAGAAGGUCUUCGGAUCGUAAAACUCUGUUAUUAGGGAAGAACAAAUGUGUAAGUAACUAUGCACGUCUUGACGGUACCUAAUCAGAAAGCCACGGCUAACUGCGUG
rnacentral:rRNA from 1 species